rnacentral:rRNA from 1 species
GACGAACGCUGGCGGCGUGCCUAAUACAUGCAAGUAGAACGCUGAAGAGAGGAGCUUGCUCUUCUUGGAUGAGUUGCGAACGGGUGAGUAACGCGUAGGUAACCUGCCUUGUAGCGGGGGAUAACUAUUGGAAACGAUAGCUAAUACCGCAUAACAAUGGAUGACACAUGUCAUUUAUUUGAAAGGGGCAAUUGCUCCACUACAAGAUGGACCUGCGUUGUAUUAGCUAGUAGGUGAGGUAAUGGCUCACCUAGGCGACGAUACAUAGCCGACCUGAGAGGGUGGUCGGCCACACUGGGACUGAGACACGGCCCAGACUCCUACGGGAGGCAGCAGUAGGGAAUCUUCGGCAAUGGGGGCAACACUGACCGAGCAACGCCGCGUGAGUGAAGAAGGUUUUCGGAUCGUGAAGCUCUGUUGUAAGUCAAGAACGGGUGUGAGAGUGGAAAGUUCACACUGUGACGGUAGCUUACCAGAAAGGGACGGCUAACUACGUG